UGGGGAAUAUUGCGCAAUGGGGGCAACCCUGACGCAGCCAUGCCGCGUGUGUGAAGAAGGCCUUCGGGUUGUAAAGCACUUUCACUUGGGAAGAAAAGCUCAUCGUUAAUAGCGGUGAGCCCUGACAUUACCUUGAGAAGAAGCACCGGCUAACUCCGUGCCAGCAGCCGCGGUAAUACGGAGGGUGCGAGCGUUAAUCGGAAUUACUGGGCGUAAAGCGCGCGUAGGCGGUUUGUUAAGUCAGCUGUGA
rnacentral:rRNA from 1 species